UACAGAGGGUGCUAGCGUUGUUCGGAAUCAUUGGGCGUAAAGGCUCGUAGGCGGCCAACUAAGUCAGACGUGAAAUCCCUCGGCUUAACCGGGGAACUGCGUCUGAUACCGGAUGGCUUGAAUUCGGGAGAGGGAUGCGGAAUUCCAGGUGUAGCGGUGAAAUUCGUAGAUAUUGGGAAGAACACCAGUGGCGAAGGCGGCUCACUGGCCCGUAACUGACGCUGAGGUGCGAAAGCGUGGGGAGCAACAGG
rnacentral:rRNA from 1 species